ACUUGACUGACUAUUCAACGCUCAGUUCAGGUGGCUCUUCCUUCAGAAAGCCUUUUUCCAUCUACUGUCCUACUGCCCCUCCCAAGUUAAGAGCAGGUGCUGCAAACGGACUGCAUUUGUUGGGGUUGCUCAGCAGGAAAUUGGGGGGGCAGUGAGUGACUCACCAAAACUGAGGGAUACGAAAGGACAAUAGAAUAACAACAGAGAAAAACAUGAAGACAGAAAGGUGUGUGGACUUGUUUUUGCCCACUCUUUCAUUGAUGGUACAGCACUUUAAAGGCCCUCGCUUUAGGCGAUGGCUCCUUUCAUAACUUCCUAACUUUCAGGACCUGAAGGACUCAUCUCCUAUGCCUGUGUGUGUCACUAGGCUUUUGAGACAGGUAAGGCAACACCUAUCACUUGCUGCCCCAACUUCCCAAUUUCUACCCCCAGUCCCAAUUUUUAUAGCCUCCUCUUCUGGACUACAUUUCCCUCUUUGAUUUUGUUCUUAAAGAAAUUGAGACUAGCUAAUUAAAAUUAAUGUAUGCACAUUUACUAUUUUGGUUACUUCUACAGCAAAACAAAACUAUUAGCUAAU